rnacentral:pre_miRNA from 1 species
GAUUUGCGUCUAAUGGCACUGGAAGAAUUCACGGAUUAUUUAAGAUUUCCGUGGUUUCUCUGGUGCUAUAAGAAGCAGUCA